rnacentral:rRNA from 1 species
GGAGAUCACUGCUAUUGGGGUUNGANUAAGCCAUGCGAGUCCAGAGUGGUAAUGCACUCGGCAAACGGCUCAGUAACACGUGGGUAAUCUGCCCUCAGGACAGGGAUAACCCCGGAAAACUGGGGAUAAUAUNUGAUAGGUGGAGAAGUCUGGAACGACUCUCCGCUCAAAUGCUCCGGCGCNUGAGGAUGAGCNUGCGACCGAUUAGGUUGUNGGCGGUGUAACGGACCACCAAGCCUGAGAUCGGUACGGGUGUUGAGAGACAGAGCCCGGAGAUGGGGACUGAGACACGGCCCCAGGCCNUACGGGGCGCAGCAGGCGCGAAAACUCCGCAAUACACGAAAGUGUGACGGGGGAACCCCAAGUGCGCUCACGCAAGUGAGUGCUUUUGUGAAGUGUAAAUAGCUUCGCGAAUAAAAGCGGGGUAAGACCGGUGCCAGCCGCCGCGGUAACACCGGCCGCUUGAGUGGUGAUCACUAUUAUUGGGCCUAAAGCGUCCGUAGCCGGUCUGGUAAGUCCUUGGGCAAAUCCUGUCGCUUAACGAUAGGAAUUCUGAGGAUACUGUCAGACUUGAGGUCGAGAGAGGUCGGAGGUACUUCUGGGGUAGCGGUGAAAUGCUAUAAUCCUGGAGGGACCACCAGUGGCGAAAGCGUCCGACCAGAGCGAGCCUGACGGUAAGGGACGAAAGCCAGGGGAGCGAACGGGAUUAGAUACCCCGGUAGUCCUGGCCGUAAACGCUGUGGGCUAGGUGUUGCAUGCUCUACGAGGGCAUGCAGUGCCGAAGAGAAGUUGAUAAGCCUACCGCCUGGGAAGUACUAUCGCAAGAUAGAAACUUAA